rnacentral:rRNA from 1 species
UCCUACGGGGCGCAGCAGUAGGGAAUCUUCGGCAAUGGGGGCAACCCUGACCGAGCAACGCCGCGUGAGUGAAGAAGGUUUUCGGAUCGUAAAGCUCUGUUGUAAGAGAAGAACGUGUGUGAGAGUGGAAAGUUCACACAGUGACGGUAACUUACCAGAAAGGGACGGCUAACUACGUGCCAGCAGCCGCGGUAAUACGUAGGUCCCGAGCGUUAUCCGGAUUUAUUGGGCGUAAAGCGAGCGCAGGCGGUUGGGUAAGGCUGAAGUUAAAGGCUGUGGCUCAACCAUAGUAUGCUUUGGAAACU